rnacentral:rRNA from 1 species
AACAGGAUUAGAUACCCUGGUAGUCCACGCCGUAAACGAUGAGUGCUAGGUGUUAGGGGGUUUCCGCCCCUUAGUGCUGAAGUUAACGCAUUAAGCACUCCGCCUGGGGAGUACGGCCGCAAGGCUGAAACUCAAAAGAAUUGACGGGGGCCCGCACAAGCGGUGGAGCAUGUGGUUUAAUUCGAAGCAACGCGAAGAACCUUACCAGGUCUUGACAUCCUCUGCCAUUCCUAGAGAUAGGAAGUUCCCUUCGGGGACAGAGUGACAGGUGGUGCAUGGUUGUCGUCAGCUCGUGUCGUGAGAUGUUGGGUUAAGUCCCGCAACGAGCGCAACCCUUGAUCUUAGUUGCCAGCAUUUAGUUGGGCACUCUAAGGUGACUGCCGGUGACAAACCGGAGGAAGGUGGGGAUGACGUCAAAUCAUCAUGCCCCUUAUGACCUGGGCUACACACGUGCUACAAUGGAUGGAACAAAGGGAAGCAAAACCGCGAGGUCAAGCAAAUCCCAUAAAACCAUUCUCAGUUCGGAUUGCAGGCUGCAACUCGCCUGCAUGAAGCCGGAAUCGCUAGUAAUCGCGGAUCAGCAUGCCGCGGUGAAUACGUUUCCCGGGCCUUUGUACACACCGCCCGUCACACCACGAGAGUUGGUAACACCCGAAGUCGGUGAGGUAACCUUUUGGAGCCAGCCGCCGAAGGUGGGACCAAUGAUUGGGGUGAAGUCGUAACAAGGUAACC